ensembl:lncRNA HTR3E-AS1 HTR3E antisense RNA 1
AAUAUUUUUGAGUGCCUCCCACAUGCCAGGAAACUUGCCAGGAGCUUGGGAUGCCAUCUAAAGACCACUUACAGUGGCCCCAAUGGUAAACUGUGAUCUCUGUGGCUACCAGGAGAUGGGACUUCCCUCUGACCAGCCCUUGAUACGCACAGUUCAAUGAUGAAAAUGUCUGGGAGCCACAGGUUCUUGGCUGCCAUACUCAUCUUCGUGAUGCCCUCACAUUCCUCUGGGUUCCAGCUGAUAAAUGGGUUAUCCCAAACCUAGAGCCCAGGUGGAGGAGAGAGACAGGGCCUUGCUAUGCUGCCCAGGCUGGUGUUGAACUCCUGGCCUCAAGCAAUCCUCCUGCCUCAGCCUCCCAAAUCACUGGAAUUUACAGGUAUGAACCACUAUGGCUAACCUUUUACCCAUUUUUAAAUCAAGUUGUUUUUUGUUGUUGAGUUUCAGGAAUUCUAUGUAUAGUUUGGAUAUUAAUCCCUUAUCAGCUAUAUAAUUUGCAAAUGUUUUCUCCCAUUUUG